GACGAACGCUGGCGGCGUGCUUAACACAUGCAAGUCGAACGGUAAGGCCCUUCGGGGUACACGAGUGGCGAACGGGUGAGUAACACGUGGGUGAUCUGCCCUGCACUUCGGGAUAAGCCUGGGAAACUGGGUCUAAUACCGGAUAGGACCACUGCCUGCAUGGGUGGUGGUGGAAAGCUUUUGCGGUGUGGGAUGGGCCCGCGGCCUAUCAGCUUGUUGGUGGGGUGAUGGCCUACCAAGGCGACGACGGGUAGCCGGCCUGAGAGGGUGACCGGCCACACUGGGACUGAGAUACUGCCCAGACUCCUACGGGGGGCAGCAGUGGGGAAUAUUGCACAAUGGGCGCAAGCCUGAUGCAGCGACGCCGCGUGAGGGAUGACGGCCUUCGGGUUGUAAACCUCUUUCAGCACCGACGAAGCGCAAGUGACGGUAGGUGCAGAAGAAGGACCGGCCAACUACGUGCCAGCAGCCGCAGUAA
rnacentral:rRNA from 1 species